rnacentral:rRNA from 1 species
AUUGAACGCUGGCGGCAGGCUUAACACAUGCAAGUCGAGCGGAGCGAGGGUGCUUGCACCUUAGCUUAGCGGCGGACGGGUGAGUAAUGCUUAGGAAUCUGCCUAUUAGUGGGGGACAACAUUCCGAAAGGAAUGCUAAUACCGCAUACGCCCUACGGGGGAAAGCAGGGGAUCUUCGGACCUUGCGCUAAUAGAUGAGCCUAAGUCGGAUUAGCUAGUUGGUGGGGUAAAGGCCUACCAAGGCGACGAUCUGUAGCGGGUCUGAGAGGAUGAUCCGCCACACUGGGACUGAGACACGGCCCAGACUCCUACGGGAGGCAGCAGUGGGGAAUAUUGGACAAUGGGCGGAAGCCUGAUCCAGCCAUGCCGCGUGUGUGAAGAAGGCCUUCGGGUUGUAAAGCUCUUUCGGCAGGAACGAAACGGUCUGUGCUAAUACCACGGGCUAAUGACGGUACCUGAAGAAGAAGCACCGGCUAACUACGUGCCAGCCGCCGCCGUAA